rnacentral:rRNA from 1 species
UACGUAGGGUGCAAGCGUUAUCCGGAAUUAUUGGGCGUAAAGCGCGCGCAGGCGGUCCUUUAAGUCUGAUGUGAAAGCCCACGGCUCAACCGUGGAGGGUCAUUGGAAACUGGGGGACUUGAGUGCAGAAGAGGAAAGUGGAAUUCCAAGUGUAGCGGUGAAAUGCGUAGAGAUUUGGAGGAACACCAGUGGCGAAGGCGACUUUCUGGUCUGUAACUGACACUGAGGCGCGAAAGCGUGGGGAGCAAACAGG